UGCGCAGGCGGAGCGAUCAGUCAGUGGUGAAAUCCUACGGCUCAACCGUAGAACUGCCAUUGAUACUGUCGUUCUUGAGUAUAGUUGAAGUGGGCGGAAUGUGUCAUGUAGCGGUGAAAUGCAUAGAUAUGACACAGAACACCAAUCGCGAAGGCAGCUCACUAAACUACUACUGACGCUCAGGCACGAAAGCGUGGGGAGCGAACAGGAUUAGAUACCCUGGUAGUCC
rnacentral:rRNA from 1 species